rnacentral:ncRNA from 1 species
CUACCGACUGGCGGCGAAGACCGCCGGCCUGUACCGUGGUCGCCUGGGCCGGCUCGAGCCAGUGGCGAAACCUUCCGCGGUAC